rnacentral:lncRNA from 1 species
UAAAAUGAAUACUAUAUUUAUUUUAUUGGUAUUCACAUUUCUGUUAAUUUGUAUUUAUAGUAUUUUUACAACGUUUAAACUAUUCUUGUUUAAUCCCCGACUCCCUUUCCCCGCUGCAGCUCCCUUUCCAGUUCUAAUUGUUGUCUCUACAAUGGGAAAAAUCGACGCUGAAUUUGUAUCAUUAUUUAGAAUUUGCGUGAUUGCUGGUUCCUUUCCAACAGCUUCCCUCUAUCUCAGACUUCAUUGAAAAGUUAGCAACUCGAACAGUCUUUUGCAUACCUCACAAAAUCUAGCCUUUAAAACACAUCAAGACGAAUAACAUCAUUAGCACAAAACAAAUAAUUUAUUAAACAUUCCUAACAAUAUAUUUACAUCAGAAAAAAUGACCUUCUUGAGGAUAUGCGGCCGGGGGGCCAUAAGCUACCGGGGGUGGAGGUGGGGGAGCAAGGACAACUGGCGCAGCUGGAUAUGGAGCUGGCGGUGGAGGAGGAGGAGCGAGCACAACCACCUCAGCUUGGUACGGAGCUGGGGGUCCGUAGGCUACUGGUGGUGGAGGCGGCGGCGGGGGUGGUGGUGGAGGUGGUGGUGGCGGUGGUGGCGGUGGCGGUGGCCCGUACUCAACUACUGGUGGGGUGGUGGUGGUGGCCCAUAUUCGACCACGGGCGGAGGCGGUGGGGCGGGUAUUACUUCAGCUUGGUAAGGAGCGGGAGCUGCUGGGUACGGAGCGAGUAUCUCGGUCGCAUAAGGGGCUGGAGCCGCAGGGUACGGAGCAGGUAGAGGUGGGGGUGCAAGCAGCUCAGUUGCAAAAGCAAAAGGGAAUACGUCGGCAUUGGCGGUACUCGCCAAAAAGGCCACCAAUACCAGGUGCCCUAUCUGUUCGAACAGAGAAAAAAAUCAGAUUAAACUUUCAGAUUGAUACAGAGUGGCAAGCCUUUGUUUUGAAUAAUCAGUAAAUAAUCAGCCAUGAAAAUUCAGAGAAAAAUCAUCAAACGUUGAUAAUCCUUUUUUCGAGACUCCACGCAUCGACUCGGUUGCAUCCUUACUUUUCAUAGGAAUAGCUAAAAUUUGCACACACACGGUUCAAGACGGAAUAAAUUUGAAACAAAUCGGUUUCCACCGUUUAUAGUGUAUUUCACGGAAAGUUAUUUCAAUAAAUGAUAACUUAAAAAUGACAUCGGCGCUUUUAAAAAGAAAAAAGGAAAAGAAAAGAAGAGAAAAAAUAAGCAGUCCUGCUUGCAAUUUCUUCUCUUUCGUUCUUUUAUCCGAAUUAUGAAAAAUUUGAAAAUGAUGAAAAUUUCGUUGAAAUUAUAAGAAAUAGGAUCAAAAAGUAAAGUAGAGAAAUUAUCUUCGCAGCCUUUUCCCUCCCCGUGAAAUGUAAGAGACGCAACCCUUGUUACGUCAGCAUAUCUCACACAAACAUUACCAAAAUAUAUUAUUUCAAUGUAAUUCAUACAUAUUUUGGACGCUGUACAUAAUGCAUAUUCAUUUUCAACCUUCAUGUUUUUCUCUUUUUAUGCAUGCGUUAUACCUUACAUCAGCCCCCAUGCUUUACCCUCUCUCUCCCUCUCGUAAGGCAUCCUUAAGAGCUUCUUGACUCUCCGUUCCCAUUUAAGUGCCUUACGUAAUUUUUGGACGUUCCCUAAAGUUCAUUCCUAGGAAAGUAUAAUCGCCGUCUACUUUAACCUUCUUUAAAGUUUAACAUAAUCGUCAAGAUUCAAUUAUUCUGAACCAUACCAUACGAGCUCACAAGUUUUUAUUAAAGUACAGGACGGAGGUUGAUUUUAAACCUUUUAAUCAUCAUAAAGUUUUGCACCUCAUCAGUGUUCAUCCGAAAUCCGCCGAGAGCCUCUUUUAACUUUACAAACAGAUGGAAGUCUAAGGGAGCAAAAGCUGGACUAUAUUCUAAAAUUAAAGGUGUAACUGCACACUAAUUAAUGAGUAGACGCAAAACUUUUUGAUGCGUGGGUUCAAAAAACAGCUUGCCGCGUUAUUUGACGCAGGGAUUUGCAAGCUCGUAUUUAGCGCUUCUAAAAAAUUUGAAUCUGAACGGUGCGGCGAUUAUGUUGAAAAUACGUCUAAAAAGUAAAAUUAAACUGUGUUAUUUCCAUAAUGAUAAGCUUUAACGUGCAUGCUAAUGCCCAGAGGGUUUUCUUAAUUUUUCAAAGCAGUUUGGACUGCUCUGCAGAUCCGGAGAGAGCGAUGAUGGUGGCGCGGUAAAACUGCUUAUUAAGCGCUACCGUGGUCCAAAUUUAGAAAAGUGAAAGCUCAAAUUAAAGCGGGGAGUAUACUGAGUUCAACGGUAUAAUUGGUUUUCUUGCCGUAACUGUUCGCAAAAAUUCUACAAGAGACCUUAAUACAUAGAUGUCCCUCGUACAAGGCACUGAUAUUUUCCCGAUCCUUUUCAGAAACAACAUACACUCGUCAUUAGUUUACCAAUGGAUAUAGGCGUUCAGUGAAUGAGCCACAAAUAAUAGUUUCUUAUUGUAAAAUAAGUCGAAAAGAGAAUUUAGUAAUAUAUGGCGAUGCAAUCUUUAAAAAGCUAAAUACAUACCCGGGCAGCAAAAAAAAAAGAAGAAAAAAAAAGAAAAAAAUACGCUUAAAAUCGACAGUUGAUUCCGAUUUGUAAUUUUUUAGCGUUAAGUCAAAAAAAUCACUUUGGUUCCCUUAUUCAACGCGCAAUAUUUCAGGAAUCUCGAGAUUUUUCUCAAAUCACACUUGUGCAUGGCAGAAAGAAACCAAGGUUAUUUUCCAAUGUAGCGGUUAUUUUUAAGGAAAUACAUACGUUCCCCUUUGUGUCUAAUAACAAGAUUCUUUUGGUCAAAUGAUAUACUCCACCUAUGUGAUUUAAUGUAAAAUCGACUUUUUUUUGCGUCUGGAAGAACAGGAAUAAUGUUUUACUUAGAUGCUCAAUGAGACUACUACUGCUCAUGAUUUACUGCUGAAUUCGAUAACUUAAGUCUUCUCCAUCACCCCCAACUUUCCGCUAAAAUGCGUUUUUGACUCUUUAAAAAAAGUGUAUAUUUUGAAAAUGCAAUUAUUUUUCGCUAAUUGGUUGGUAAAGGAAGAAAACUACGUUUAUUCUCGGCCUCAGCAGAAAAAAAUUAUUCAAAACUACCCCACUAUAUACACGAAAAGAAUAAUUUCCUUACAAGCACAAAACAAACUGAUCAAUUUUACAUGGGGAUUUAUGGGUCGAUAAUGUUAUUUGAUCGGAAGAACCCUGUUAUCACACCAGAUAGGAAAAAUUGCUCUGGCAUGCGGUAUAUGUGUACUGAUAUAUCUUAACUGCUCUAAUUUGGUUUCCCUCCAUCAUGCAUCAAUUAUCCGGCAAAUGCGAUUUUCUUUGGAAAAGCCCUUUUUAAGGCAAACCUUAAUUUAAAGAACUACGAUGGGUACGGAGAAAAAGCUGAGGUUAUUUUAAAUUUUGAUCUCAGUGUUAAACAUUACACAAAAAUUACCGAUCAAUUUGCCAGCAUUUAUUGCGCUGCAGAUCUAUGUUCUUGUUGAUUCGUAAGGUUGAUUUUUCCCCUUUUUCAUAAAAAAUCUUGUAAAAACAUCACUCUCAAAUGACAAAACUAAAUUUUUUUAUCUCAAAUAAUGUAUGCACUUUUUUACAGAGUAUGCAGAAUAUGUUAGUUAUUAUUAAAUUAGGUAGUGGUUCGAUGCACAUCCAAAAAAUAACAAUGAAAACUACGAAGAAACUGCAUAAGGAGAAAUUUGAGCCCACUAUGAUAGCAUUUUAAAAUUAUCCACAUAUAGACGCACAGAAAAAAAAAAAAAAAAAAAAAAAAAAAAAUCGGCACAAUCACACAAAUUGUAAAAGGAGUUGAUGUCGAGAAACGUGUUUCCCUUUGAAAUUGAACUCAAGCAAUACAUUUCCUCGUUUCAAUGACGCUAGUCUAUAGUUUAAGAUCGGAGCUUUGGAGACCCGAAGAACGAAUGUUCAACCGAGAAUAAAUGAAAUUGAGAGUAAAAAUCAGACUCACCAUCGUGAAGCUAGGAAUUUUGGAGAUCACUGAGCAAAUCUCAAAAUAGAAAUAUCUUUUAUAGCAUUCGAUACGAAUCGGAAAUUCGGAGGCAGCAAUUAGAGGCUGUGACACUCCUCAUCUGCA